CUUUAGGAAGUGUUUCACCUG
rnacentral:snRNA from 1 species